GGAGGGGACGCGGUCAGCUGCUGGGCCGAUCAGCCAGGCAGACAGGACGAGACCCAUUAGGAUGAAGAUAAAUCUGUGUCAAAUAAGAGCUCUGGUUUGGGUCCUACCGUCUAUCUGGACUGUAGCACACAGCUCUGUGUCUCCGCUUUAUAGACAUCUCUUAUCAAACAUUCUGUGGGUCUUAUCGGUGCCCGGUGAGGUACCACCCCCGUCUGACCUGGUUUUCGGUGUCGACCUCCGGGACGGGAACAGCACAAUCCAUCACUUGGGCCUCCAGCCGUAGAGACAAGGACGAGAGAUCCGUGACGUGUUUGUAAAUAAAUGAGACGGAUGCUGAACGAAACGACCUACAUCCUCAUCAUCACUUUGCCUGCAUUGAUCAGAUUCAGCCACGCCGCUUUUUCCUUCCCUAGCGGGUUCUGUAAUGGAUGUAAACAUAAAUGGCGAAACACAGGAAUAAAAUCACACUCGGGCUUUUUAUUAACAAGAAGAGAAAAA